rnacentral:rRNA from 1 species
UACGUAGGAUGCAAGCGUUGUCCGGAUUUAUUGGGCGUAAAGCGCACGUAGGCGGCUUUCUAAGUCGGGGGUGAAAUCCUGGAGCUCAACUCCAGAACUGCCUUCGAUACUGGAGAGCUUGAGUCCGGGAGAGGUGAGUGGAACUGCGAGUGUAGAGGUGAAAUUCGUAGAUAUUCGCAAGAACACCAGUGGCGAAGGCGGCUCACUGGCCCGGUACUGACGCUGAGGUGCGAAAGCGUGGGGAGCAAACAGG